AUUGCGGCUGCCUUACCAUGCAAGUCGAACGGCAGCGGGGGUGCUUGCACCUGCCGGCGAGUGGCGAACGGGUGAGUAAUGCAUCGGAACGUACCCAGUCGUGGGGGAUAACGCAGCGAAAGCUGUGCUAAUACCGCAUACGUCCUGAGGGAGAAAGCAGGGGAUCUUAGGACCUUGUGCGAUUGGAGCGGCCGAUGUCAGAUUAGCUAGUUGGUGAGGUAAAAGCUCACCAAGGCGACGAUCUGUAGCUGGUCUGAGAGGAUGAUCAGCCACACUGGAACUGAGACACGGUCCAGACUCCUACGGGAGGCAGCAGUGGGGAAUUUUGGACAAUGGGGGCAACCCUGAUCCAGCCAUGCCGCGUGAGUGAAGAAGGCCUUCGGGUUGUAAAGCUCUUUCGGCCGGGAAGAAAUCGCCAUCUCUAACAUAGGUGGUGGAUGACGGUACCGGAAUAAGAAGCACCGGCUAACUACGUGCCAGCAGCCGCGGUAAUACGUAGGGUGCGAGCGUUAAUCGGAAUUACUGGGCGUAAAGCGUGCGCAGGCGGUUUUGUAAGACAGGCGUGAAAUCCCCGGGCUCAACCUGGGAACUGCGCUUGUGACUGCAAGACUAGAGUACGGCAGAGGGGGGUGGAAUUCCACGUGUAGCAGUGAAAUGCGUAGAGAUGUGGAGGAACACCAAUGGCGAAGGCAGCCCCCUGGGUCGAUACUGACGCUCAUGCACGAAAGCAUGGGGAGCAAACAGGAUUAGAUACCCUGGUAGUCCACGCCCUAAACGAUGUCAACUAGUUGUUGGUAGGGUAAAACCCUAUUAGUAACGU
rnacentral:rRNA from 1 species